rnacentral:rRNA from 1 species
AUGGGAACGCGAAGAACCUUACCUACUCUUGACAUCCAGAGAACUUUCCAGAGAUGGAUUGGUGCCUUCGGGAACUCUGAGACAGGUGCUGCAUGGCUGUCGUCAGCUCGUGUUGUGAAAUGUUGGGUUAAGUCCCGCAACGAGCGCAACCCGUUAUCCUUUGUUGCCAGCGGUUAGGCCGGGAACUCAAAGGAGACUGCCAGUGAUAAACUGGAGGAAGGUGGGGAUGACGUCAAGUCAUCAUGGCCCUUACGAGUAGGGCUACACACGUGCUACAAUGGCGCAUACAAAGAGAAGCGACCUCGCGAGAGCAAGCGGACCUCAUAAAGUGCGUCGUAGUCCGGAUUGGAGUCUGCAACUCGACUCCAUGAAGUCGGAAUCGCUAGUAAUCGUAGAUCAGAAUGCUACGGUGAAUACGUUCCCGGGG